GUUGACUACAUGGAUAAAAGAAAGAGACUGGAUUGGCCUUGUGGGCGGGCCACGCGCGCCGAGGGUGCGAGCGGACGUACAUAGCGCUGUCAUAACGCUCAAAUGUUCAUACUUACCGGCUAGCAAUCGCUGUCAUGUUUUGACAGCGUACGUAUCUCCGCAAAAAUAUUAUAUUAUGCCGUCUUGCGCUAUUAUAACGUGUCGGAAAAGAAACCAGGUGUGUAGCAUAGCACGAGAAGGAAUUUCUUUUCACCGGUUUCCAACAGAUCCAGGUGUAACAAAAUUGUGGAUUGACACAACUGGUAGAAUUAAUUUUUUCUUUUUUCAAGUUCCACCACACAGAUUAGAAACUGCGUAUAUUUUUAUCUCCACCAUAUUUAUACAGACAUUGGUCUUAAAAACUAAGCUUAUAUAAUAAUUAAUAGUAUAAUAAAUUAUGUAGCAAGUUACACGACCAGGUUUAAAACAAUUGAAAUGACAAGUGGUGGGAUUCAGGAACCCAAACUAGGAAAACCUGUACUAUGGGCUCCUGGAUUCCUACUAAAUGUAGCAUAUUUCGUUCGCAACAUUUCGAUGUUGAUAAUUACAUAAUAACAAAGUCAGGGAAAAGAAACUUAAAAUUAGGCGUUUAUCCGCACAAUAUCGCAAUGUGUAAUUCAAUAAGUAAACUGAUUUUAUUUUAGAAAAUUUUAAAUUAGUCUCUUUAAAUCAGUUUUUUUGUCUAAAAAUGGCGAUAUUUAAAAUAUCAUCUUUCGUAAAUUUAAAAAAUGAAAUAAUAUAACCAUGUUAUUUCAAUGUGUUCUGUACUUUAUACAGAUUAUUGUAAAUGUGAGAGCCCUGUAAUUAGCUAAAUUAGACUAGUAGAAUGCAUUUGUGUCAGCUUAGAGUUGUCAUGCUCACUCAAAGGUCUCACUGGCGGUGGCACGGGCAUUGGAUCGUUCGAUUCCCUGCAACAUGGUUGAGUUGGGCGGUGCUGGUGUACGUGUCAUGUUGGUGAACGAGCGCUGUCAACUGGGACUGGUCAGCUCCAGACUGUAUUAAUUUUGUUGUUCUUAAGGUUUUUUUUCUAUCGCUUUGACUGAAUAUUAGUUUUACAUUGUUCUCACAUAGUUCAAGCAAUCGAUGCAAAGAAAAGCAAUGUUAUCAAGAAUUGUAUUGUGAAUCUAAUUGAAAAAGAUCGAACGAACAGAUCUUCGAUCUUCUCCAUAGGAAUCUACACUUUGGAACUAGCAAAUAGCUUCACUAGAGGGCUGACCGACAGACAGACGUUAUUAAUAUUAUUAUAUUUGCUUUGACGUUCAAAAGUGCCUAUGAUUUAUUAAUUUUUUUACUGAUUUUUAACUUAUUGAGUAAUAAAAUUGGUUUUAAAAUUCA